GACGAACGCUGGCGGCGUGCCUAAUACAUGCAAGUCGAACGCACUCUCGUUUAGAUUGAAGGAGCUUGCUCCUGAUUGAUAAACAUUUGAGUGAGUGGCGGACGGGUGAGUAACACGUGGGUAACCUGCCCUAAAGUGGGGGAUAACAUUUGGAAACAGAUGCUAAUACCGCAUAAAACCUAACACCGCAUGGUGUAGGGUUGAAAGAUGGUUUCGGCUAUCACUUUAGGAUGGACCCGCGGUGCAUUAGUUAGUUGGUGAGGUAAAGGCUCACCAAGACCGUGAUGCAUAGCCGACCUGAGAGGGUAAUCGGCCACACUGGGACUGAGACACGGCCCAGACUCCUACGGGAGGCAGCAGUAGGGAAUCUUCCACAAUGGACGAAAGUCUGAUGGAGCAACGCCGCAUGAGUGAAGAAGGUUUUCGGAUCGUAAAACUCUGUUGUUGGAGAAGAAUGUAUCUGAUAGU
rnacentral:rRNA from 1 species